rnacentral:rRNA from 1 species
CCUACGGGAGGCAGCAGUGGGGAAUUUUGGACAAUGGGGGCAACCCUGAUCCAGCAAUGCCGCGUGUGUGAAGAAGGCCUUCGGGUUGUAAAGCACUUUUGUCCGGAAAGAAAUCGCACUUACUAAUAUUAGGUGUGGAUGACGGUACCGGAAGAAUAAGGACCGGCUAACUACGUGCCAGCAGCCGCGGUAAUACGUAGGGUCCAAGCGUUAAUCGGAAUUACUGGGCGUAAAGCGUGCGCAGGCGGUUGUGCAAGACCGAUGUGAAAUCCCCGGGCUUAACCUGGGAAUUGCAUUGGUGACUGCACGGCUAGAGUGUGUCAGAGGGGGGUAGAAUUCCACGUGUAGCAGUGAAAUGCGUAGAGAUGUGGAGGAAUACCGAUGGCGAAGGCAGCCCCCUGGGAUAACACUGACGCUCAUGCACGAAAGCGUGGGGAGCAAACAGGAUUAGAUACCCUGGUAGUCCACGCCCUAAACGAUGUCAACUAGUUGUUGGGGAUUCAUUUCCUUAGUAACGUAGCUAACGCGUGAAGUUGACCGCCUGGGGAGUACGGUCGCAAGAUUAAAACUCAAAGGAAUUGACGG